AGCGAACGCUGGCGGCAGGCCUAACGCAUGCAAGUCGAACGAACUCUUCGGAGUUUUUGGCGGAUGGCUGUGUCACACGUGGGAACGUUCCUUUUUGUUCGGCAUACCUCAGGGAAACUUGUGCUAAUACCGAAUGUGCCCUUCUGGGGAAAGAUUUAUCGCCAUUCGUGCGGCCCGAGUCUGAUUAGCUAGUUGGUGCGGUAACGGCUCACCAAGGCGACGAUCAGUAGCUGGUCUGAGAGGAUGACCAGCCACACUGGGACUGAGACACGGCCCAGAAUCCUACGGGAGGCAGCAGUGGGGAAUGUAGCACAAUGGGGGGAAGCCUGACGGAGCCAGGCCGGGUGAAUGAUGAAGGUCGUAGGAUUGUAAAAUUCUUUCACCGGGGACGAUAAUGACGGUACCCGGAGAAGAAGCCCCGGCUAACUUCGUG
rnacentral:rRNA from 1 species